AACGUUACCCUUCGUUUCAGCUUCAUUCAUUGAGAGACUUUGUUUAAAUUCGAUUUUAAUUAGUUUUAAUACAAUAUUAUUGUUAUUUUCAUUAUCAAACCAUCUUAAGAUCUGUUUCUAUUUUGUGUUUAUCUUUACUAAAAAGGCAGUAACGAAAAUAUUGAAAAUUCCGUUAACAGUUCAUAUUUUGUUUUUUUCCUUUUUUUGCAAAGUUUUGGAUCCCGUUAUAAUCGCGUAAAUAUUUGUUGAUUAGGAAUGUGUUAGGUGAAAGUUCACUACAAAUUUUUUUUAAAAAUUAAACUUGGCAAUUGACAUUAAGAAGUUAGGCAACAGAAAAAUAAAAUUUACUCUGUUAUUAAAGUAACUCUAUUUUAAAGUGAAUUUAUUUACAUCUAGAAAAUUAACCUCGUUUACCCUCAUCGAAAUUUCCUGUACUUAAUACAAACUUCGAGCUAGUUUGAAAAAUGCAAAAAACUUCUCUGGAAAAAAAAAAUUUUUUUAGACGUUAGAUUCAACGUCUUUCGUAAGUCAUACACUCUCCUGAUACACAGAGUAUUUAACUUUAUGUACUCUUAAAUGUAUUAAAGAUAUAGAGUGAUAUAAAUGGAAAUGUCGGACAUAUUUCUACUUUUCAAUUUCCAGAAAGAGUGGCUCAGUAUUCUGGUUGGACAAGUUAAGAUGUGAAUGGCUUUGUGAAGAAAUAAGUUUACAAGAGCUUAAAUUAAGAAGAUGCUGAACAAAACAAAUAAUUUAACAACAUUCUGAUCCUCCAAAGAAAGCUUCAAAAGUAACUAAUAGGAGAUUCUCUUGAAAAUGGACAAAAUUUGGCAUCAUGGUGUUAUCAAGUACCUGCAGAAAAAUAAUUUAGACCCCCACCCCUGCUUUCAUUCAUAAGGACAUUCAUAUUGACAUGUUUGCUACAUUAUGGAAUGACACUCCAGCUUUAUCAACAGUGCAAAAGUAUGUAGCUGAAUUUAGGAGGAGAAGGGAGAGUCUUGAAGUUGACUCAAGGUUUGGAUGUCGUGCAACUGCCACCACCAAGGAAAUCAUUGAUUGUGUUCACCACAUUGUGAUGGAUGACAAGCGAUUGACUAUGCUAUUAGCAUAUCUUGUGAGAGAGUUGAGAAUAUUCUGUGCAACAAAUUUGAUAUGAUGAAAGUCUCUGCAAAGUCUUCCUACAAAAUGCACCAGGCUGACCACAUCACGGGGAAAAUCUGACAUUGUUUGAGGCAGAUCCAGCUGCUUUCCUUGGAUGUUUCCAAACCCAGGAGGAGUGUUUUGUUCAUCACCUUGAGCGAAAGACAAUACACCUGUUCCAAAGAAGGCCAAUGUCAUUUUAUCUUGCAGGGAAGAUGAUGGCUUGUUUUGGGGGAUCUAAAAGACAUUGUGCUUAUUGACUAUCUUCAAAAGGGCCAUACCAUCAAUGGAGAGUACUAUGCCAACUUGUUGAGGCAGUUACAAAAGGCUAUCAAAACCAAACGCUCAGGAAAACUGACAAAAGGCAUCUUGUUUCAUCAGGACAAGGCUCUAGCACACAAGUCCUUGGUUUCAAUGGCUGCUGUUCAUGACUGUGGCUUUGACCUGGUUGAUCACCCUCCCUAUUCUCUUGAUUUAGUCCCAUUAGACUAACAUGAAAAAACACUUCGCUGGGAACCAUUAUUGCACUGAUGAAGAAAUCAUAUCUUCCAUUUAUAACUUUUUUGACCAACAGGGUGAAAGCUUCUUCAUCAAAUGGAUCCAGGCACUGCAACACUAAUGGAGGAAGUGUGCAAACUGCAAAAGGGACUAUGUUGAAAAAUAAAUCUCAUUUGGUCACAUUCCACAAGAGUAUCUUGAUCAGCCUAUGAACUUUUCAGCUGACCCUUAUAUAAUUAAAUAAAGAGCUGAAGUUUUGAUUGUUGGUAUCUGACAACUGAAUCUAUGUAAAGAAACACUCCAAAGAAUGUAACACAGAUUUAGACAACAAUAAUUGCAGUGUAUAGCUGUUGCUUUCAAUUAAUCAUACUACUAAAGCUACUGUUAUUACCGCCACAAAAGCACCAAGCUGGUAGAAUUGUUACUGUUUUAGAUAAAAUACUUAGCAGCAGUUCUUCCAGUUCUUUACAUUCUGACUUCAGGUUGACUUUGUCUGUCAUCUUUUCAGGGUUGAUAAAGUACCAGUUGAGCACUGGGGUUGAUAUAAUUGACUACUCCCUUCUACUAAAACUGCUGGCUCAAAAAGACAUAUUACCACAUCAGUAUCUUUGUAAGUGACACUUUGUAAACAGAAAUUGUGUAAAAAGUACACCAGAGGGACUGUCUCUAUUCUUGGGUGGUGAACUUAUUCUAUCAUCCACUUUAUCACCCCCAUGAUUCCUGAAUGCAUUUAGUAUCAACCACUCUGUUGCAAACAUUUGGGAAUGGUCUCUAGUCUUGGGUCAGCUUUUUUCCAGCUUUCUUUAGACAAAUAAGAAGGAUGAAUAGGAAUUAAUGUUUUUUUUCAAUUUUUCAGUCAAUUUUAUUCAAAUUUAUUGCCUGACUUAGACAGGGCAGAUGACCAUAACUUACUUGUACAUUUCAUUUUUGGGUUGGAUGGUAUUUCUAAAACCAACCAUUUUACAGAGUGAACCAGGUGUGUUUUAUCAUCACACCAGCAUUAAAAAUAUUGUCAUACCUUUGACAACACUAAAGAGCCCUCUCAACGUUUUCUUUGCACAUUCUACAACCACUUCACAGACUGUAUUAGGUGCAUUUUAUCAUGGUACUAGCACUAAUGAGGUUACCUUGUACCCUACAAACAAAAGGGUCUUUACUGCACAACACUGAUAGCCUUUUGUUCCAAACAAUGUUAUCAACAGAGUGAGUAGGGAUAUAUAUGUAUAAUGCUUGUAUAUCAUAUAUCAUGUAUGAUGAAUAAUUAAAAAUAUAUAGUACUUGAUGCAGAUAUGUAGAGUAAUGUAUUUAUAAAGCAAUGCUGGUUACCAUUGAUUUUAUGGUUUGGACCUUCCGGCUUUGUCUCCAUAUGUUUUGAGAAAAUGAGAAAUAUCUUUAAAAAAAUGUAUUUUCUUGAACUUCUAUUUUUAAGGUAAAUAACUUUUCCUGAAGGGUUAUGAGUUAUAUAUCUCCAUAAUUAUGAUUGCAAAGUUGCUGAAAAAAAAAUACAUUGUAAAUUGUUUGAAGAUGAUAUGAAACCAAACAGAAUUAAAUGAUUAAAAUGAAUUAAACUUAGUCAAUACUGGGAGAGAGUAAUAAGGAUGGGGCAGGGGAAAUUAAAUAUAAAAAGGAAAAGUAAAUAUAAAAUUAAAGGUGAAUGAUAGAUAGGAAAAAAACUGGAAGAGAACAAGGAAAUAAAGUUUCAGAUGAAACAAUAUCAGGUAUUUGUGCAUAUAUGUGGUUUUGGUCUAGUGAAGACAGUAUUUUCCAGUUAAAUAAUAGGGUAUUUUUUUAAAAGUGUCUGCAUUUCUCAAAUAUGGUGUUUAAAUUGAAGCCUUGUUUAUGAAUGACUUUGAAAAUUCUCUACUUCUCUGCUGUGCACAAGUCACAUCUUUUACUUCUAAUUUGGCAAAUUCUGGAUCAUUCCAGGUUUUUUCAUUUACUAUAGUCCAAAACUGUUUCUUUUAGUUUACAAAUAUAGUCAGUCCUUCUCUAAUGUUCUUUUUAUUUAUGUUUAAAGGAAGAUUUGUAAAUGUUUUUUAAAUGUUUCUUGUUGUGCUUAUGUAAAUGUUUAUGCAUUUCAACUAGGUUGAAGUCUGGAGAAGUAACUUCUGCUUCAUAAAUAACUGUUUCUAAAAUGUUCAAUUUGUUAGUUGGACAUGUUUUAGGGUUUCUGCUCAAGUAUGCAACAAAGGUGUGACCUGUGCAUAGCAGAAAAGAGGGAAAUCCUCAAAAAUCUUCAUAAACAUCAGAUCAAAAAUAUUCAAGAAAUGUAGAUACUUUAAAAAAUACCAACUAUACAACUAGAGAACAUUACAUAUAUGGGCAGACACCUGAUAUUGUUUCACCUGAAACUUUCUUUUCUCUCUCGUCUUCUAGCUUUCCUCCUCCUAUCCUUCAUCCAUUUUUAUGGUUACUAUUCCUUCUUAUAACCAUCUUCCCAUUCCUCCACCCAUACUAUUCCCCUAAUAUUGAUAGGUAUAUCCAAACUUUCAGAUGCAUCAACACAAGCCAACAUGGAAAGAUUGUGUUAAAUUACAGUAAAAAAAAAAAAAUGCAGAGAAAACAAAAGAUAGAGAAACAGAUGACCCAAAUGUACACUCCAAGUAAAGAGCACAUACGGCAUGUUUCACUGUUUGAUACCUAGAAGGGGAAUACAGCAAGUUCAGCAGCAGGAUCACUAAAGAGACACUUAUGGAAAUGAUGAGGUGAAUGAAAGGACAUGCAGAAAAUAGUUUUCACAUUUCAAAAAGGGUGACGGCGCCCCAAUUAUGAGGAAUUGCAAGCUACUGUUGAUGAAAAUCCAACCAUUACAACUAGGGAAGUGAGCAAGGAGUUUAAUGAGAGUCAUAUGACCAUCUAUCGUGAAAUAAUAAGGCUUGUUACAGUCUCCAAGGUUGGAAGAUGGGUUCCACAAGAUCUGUCAAAAAAUCAAUCGCAAACAAUGUGUAGACUGCUGUCUCAUUGCAUUCUCUUGCACUUCACCUGUUUUAGACAGAAUCAUUACUGGAGAUGGGAAGUGGAUUCUUUACAAUAAUGUGAAGUGCAAAAGACAGUGGCUCGGCCAUAAUUCAAGGCCUAUCCAACAGCCACGAUGUAUUCUACAUCCAAAGAAGAUUCUUUUGAGUGUAUGGUGGGACAUGAGGGGGAAUGUUUAUUAUGAGCAAUUAGAUGACAAUCAAACAAUAACAGCUGAAGUUUACUACCAGCAGCUGAAACGUUUAAAAACAGUUUUGCAUGAAAAACAGCUUUUGUUGGUAAACAGAAAAGGAGUGAUCCUGCAGCAUGAUAAUGCCAGACCCCACAUUACAAGAGCAACUAAGAAUAUCCUAGAAGAAUUUAACAAAAACAUAAUAAAAAUUAAAUCACCAAAACCAACAACCAAAAAUUAAAAUCAUAUCUUUUUCUUUCAAAUUUCUGAAUAUGCUCCAUGUAAAGAAUCAACUUUCCCACAAAAUGAAGCUGAUCUGCGAUAUUGGAUAGGUGACAUAUUUAGCAAAAAUUGUGUACUCAUUCCUCAAUACAAACGAUAACUAUUUAAGUUUAAUUAAUACCAUUUAUGAUCAAAUGGAAGGAGAUAAAAGAAUUGAACAUUACCUCUACUAUGUCUCGGUUAGUUUGGCUGACUACUGUGUCAUUGUACUCAGUAUACUUCAGCAGUACUUUGUCCAUAUCAGAGCUAGCAUACUGGUACAAUUUGUUUCCACUUGUGAAGAUUAUCAGUGCAAUUUCACAGUCACACAGCACAGACAGUUCAUAAGCUUUU